rnacentral:rRNA from 1 species
GUGCGAGUCUCAACUCACCCUUUGGGGUUAGUGGCGAACGGGUGAGUAACACGUGGGUGAUCUGCCCUGCACUUUGGGAUAAGCCUGGGAAACUGGGUCUAAUACCGGAUAGGACUACGCACUGCAUGGUGUGUGGUGGAAAGCUUUUGCGGUGUGGGAUGGGCCCGCGGCCUAUCAGCUUGUUGGUGGGGUGAUGGCCUACCAAGGCGACGACGGGUAGCCGGCCUGAGAGGGUGACCGGCCACAAUGGGACUGAGAUACGGCCCAGACUCCAACGGGAGGCAGCAGUGGGGAAUAUUGCACAAUGGGCGCAAGCCUGAUGCAGCGACGCCGCGUGAGGGAUGACGGCCUUCGGGUUGUAAACCUCUUUCGCCAGGGACGAAGCGCAAGUGACGGUACCUGGAGAAGAAGGACCGGCCAACUACGUGCCAGCAGCCGCGGUAAUACGUAGGGUCCGAGCGUUGUCCGGAAUUACUGGGCGUAAAGAGCUCGUAGGUGGUUUGUCGCGUUGUUCGUGAAAACUCACAGCUUAACUGUGGGCGUGCGGGCGAUACGGGCAGACUGGAGUACUGCAGGGGAGACUGGAAUUCCUGGUGUAGCGGUGGAAUGCGCAGAUAUCAGGAGGAACACCGGUGGCGAAGGCGGGUCUCUGGGCAGUAACUGACGCUGAGGAGCGAAAGCUGGG